GAGUGUUCCACGACCCAAUCCCUCCACGCCGCCGCCAGGAGUCCUUCCGACGCGAUUGUGCCAUGACGCGCCCUUCCUUCCCCGCCAGCCCGGCCAGAAGCUGCCGCCCCUUUUGCGUCCCCAGGCGAGCCACCGCUCGACAGAUGUGCAGUGCCAGCCGCUGCCACUACGGAUUCCGCUGCCACGCGUGAGUAGGAGAUCGAUGAAAAUAAGCUCUCUGCCCUCUACGGAUGAUGCAGGGAAAAGUUAAUAUUUUGAGAAUAUAGAGCAGAGAUAGUAAGAAGAAGAAGAAUACGAAGCAAGACAAAUAGUACACCAUUUGACGUCUACAGUCUGUUUAAGGACAACAACAAUUUUCUGCACUGUGAGUAUAUGUUGAUUGCAUUUUCUGCCCAGGUUGAGAUCGCCAUCAUUCAUACUAGAUGAGCUACAGAAUUUUUUUAAUUUGUUUUGCCUACAACCAUGUGAUUUUUCUCCACACGUCUGAUAUCUAUGGUAUUUUCAUGUUCAUAAAAUAAUGAUUCUUCAAUCUAUGGUUUUACAAUUUCA